UCUUCACCGCUUUCUCGAAUUCUCUCUUUGUUUUUCCCCGAGUCUGUGUCUGACCUUUUUAUAUAUUCUCUCUCUUGCCGCCGGCCAACACCUUGCCUAGUCUAACAUCGCCGGCCGGCCGUGUUCUCCGGUUAGCAUCACCGCCAGUUCUGAGUGAACCAGCCUUUUCUCCAGUUUCCACACCGACGUCGUUUUGAGCAAGGACAAGAAAAUUGAAACCUGGUUUUAGCAUUUUCGCUCUUCUCCAUGACCUUCCAUGUUCAGAAAUGUGCUAAAAACAUUCAUAACUUGGUUGGUCCAGCAAUAUCUUUUGCCUUAAUCCAUGAUUCUUCUCAGAGCUUCUCUCGUGCUUUUUCUUCAUGUCUUUCUUUUCCAUUGGAGUCUUCCCAUGUCAUAAGAAGUGGAUAUACUGAUCAUGAACAACAAUAUGAAGACUCGGAAAGAUUGUCUGCUCUUGACAUUCUUGUAGCUAGAGUUCCUAUAGGAGUUAGUGAAGAUGAAGUUCUUCAGUCUCUGUUGCGUGAUCAAGCAUGUAAUAGCAUAAGGCUCUCUUCUGAGCUUGUUGAUAAGUUGCUUCAUAAGUUCAAGGAUGAUUGGAAGUCUGCAUUGGGCUCUUUUAGAUGGGCAGGGUCACGCUCAGGUUAUAAACACACACCUGAAGCUUAUGAUAUGUUAGUGGACAUAUUGGGUAGAAUGAAGCAAAUGGAUAAGAUGAAGGCUCUGUUGGAAGAAAUGAAUCAAUAUCAUCUUGUGACCCUUAAUACUAUAGCAAAAGUGAUGAGAAGGUUUGCUGGUGCUGGGAAAUGGGAAGAUGCUGUGAGGAUAUUUGAUGAGUUAGGAACUUUUGGAUUGGAGAAGAAUACAGAAUCAAUGAAUUUGUUGCUUGACACCCUUUGCAAAGAGAACAAGGUUCAGCAGGCCCGUGAGAUCUUCUUGGAGCUCAAGUCACAUAUUUCACCCGAUGCUCACACGUUUAACAUUUUCAUUCAUGGUUGGUGCAAAGCCAAUAGGGUCGAUGAGGCAUAUUGGACAAUCCAAGAGAUGAAGGGACAUAGCUGUCGACCUUGUGUCAUUAGCUACUCAACCAUCAUCCAAUUCUAUUGCUACCAGUAUAACUUUGGUAAGGUCUAUGAGCUGCUUGAUGAAAUGCAAGCUCAUGGGUGUCCGCCAAAUGUUGUUACUUUCACCACUAUCUUGUGUUCAUUGGCAAAGUCAGAGGAGUUUGAGGAAGCGUUGCAUAUUGUUGACAGGAUGAAGUUGGCUGGAUGUAAACCUGAUACACUUUUCUACAAUUCAUUGAUCCAUACUCUUGGGAGAGCUGGCUUUGUGCAGGAGGCUGUUUAUGUUUUUGAGGUGGACAUGCCUCAGACUGGCGUCAAACCAAACACAUCAACCUAUAAUUCAUUGAUUGCUAUGUUUUGCCGUCGUGGUCAGGAACAAAAUGCCUUGAAUGUCCUAAAAGACAUGGAAAAAUCAGGCCUUUGUAAGCCUGAUGUUCAGACAUACUACCCAUUGCUCAAGUCGUGCUUUAAAACUGGGAAAACAGAUAGCUGUUUAAGAAAAUUAUUGGAUGACAUGGUCAAUAAACAUCACCUGAGUCUUGAUAUAUCAACCUAUGCACUUCUAAUUCAUGGGCUUUGCCGAGCAAAUAAAUGUGAGUGGGCUUACACAAUCUUUGAGGAGAUGAUUGGUCAAGAGAUAGCACCUAGAUAUCACACAUGCUGUUUGCUAUUGGAUGAAGUAAAACAGAAGAAUAUGUAUGCUGCUGCUGAAAGGAUUGAAGAUUUGAUGAAAAAAUUAUAAAUUUUUGACUAACAAUCAUGUCAAGGUGAACAAGCGUAUACUUUUUCUCUUCUGAAAGAACAGAAAACAUCUACUUCUGUCUUCUACAACAGACGAUUAGCUACACUAAAUUUGCCAAUAUUUGAUGGGCAAGGAGUACUGGCAUUUUUAUAUCAUCAAAGGCAUAUGAAAAAACCAGGCAAAGGCCACAAGAUGACUGCCAUGGCCGGCAGUAAUCCAGAUAACGGUUUUGGGGGGACAGGGACUGUUCAUGCACUAAAGGCACUGAUACUCAGCAGAUUGCACAAGAAGUCUGGUUGACCACCAUGAUCCUUCUGUCCUUCAGUUUAGAAACAUAUUGAAGUCAUCCUAACCUUUGUCGUGUACUUUGUAAACAACUUGCACUGGGUGGAUUGAGAAGAAAAAAAAGGUGAACCUUUCUACUGAUGAAGAUUCUUAGUGCAUUUUUGGACAACUGCUUGAGGAUUAAGGUGAACAUCUUAAUUGGGGUCAAAUGAUCAUCAGCACAUGUUUGGGAUAUUCUCUCUCUCCUUUUUUUCUUUUCCUGAUAUAUUUUAAUCAAUUAUGAAUGUUAUGAAAGGAAGAAUAUGGUAUGAUGAUAAAUUACCGAUUGUCCUAAAAACUUAAGUUGUUAGGAAAUUAUAAAAAUAAUCAUUUAACCAUAAUUUACUUAUAUAAAAAAAUUAUUUAACCAUAAUUCUAACACUUCUCAUUUCCCCUCACAUGUGGGCCUAGACUCUCCCUUAAUAUAUAUAUAUAUAUAUAUAUGGGAAAGUCUAGGUGCACAUCUGAAAAUGCACAUAAGCGGGCAUGUACUGAUGUGUAAAGGCACAGUUAGUGCCAGCGGAAUUAAGAGUCAGCCACGUCGAUUAUACUAAUAGAGGCAAGUGAUAAGGUGGCAUCCUAAAUAGGAGGUAAAGUGUAGAUAAGGUUCGAACUCAAGACCAUUUACUUUUAUACCAUGAUAAAAUACUAAUUGCUGCAAAAGCUUAUACUAUUUGAGAAUGGUAAAAUUAUUUAUUUAACUAUAAUUCUAACAUGUGACCCAUCAAGGUGCUGCCUAGUAGUUGGAGGCUUGAGAUGAGUUGUAGACCUAGAUAUUCUAGGUUUGAUCUCCAUUAGGAAUUUUUCUGAAUUACUUGAUACAUGAUUAUAGUGGAUUGGGUCAUAUAUCCAUGGUUUACUUCUCAAGGAUGGUCCAAAGGGCCCUACCUCCACAUCAUUAAGGAAAAAAAAACAUGUAGUUUCUUUUUCUUCUCUCUUUAUUUUGGGGAGAAUUUUAUUAUUUUUCUAAUACAUAAAAGUUGCUUUGGGGGAAAAAGUUGCAUAUUUUUCUUGAUCUUUGAGCGUGACAAAUAUUUUGUUCACUUGAAUGAGAACAUCUUUACAUAAAGGAGUUGGAACUUGGAAUACCACUAAUAUCUAAGAGUCUUGUGUUCAACUAGAAACCUUUUCUUUAUGAGGUGUGGGCUCUAGCUAAUUGGGCUACCCCUUGGAUUUGAUAGAACUUAAAAUAGUUGUCAUUACUAAUUGCAUGCUUUCACACGACAGAGUGCUCUCUGGUGACACCUCUGUGGCUUAACUCACCAGCUAUAUGGUUAAUAUGGUUGACUUGCUUUGUUUAAAUUGUUAUCCCCUGAUUUGGUUGAUGAUGGACCUGUAACACCUUUCAUGACAAUGUGGCCCUUCUGAAGACUUUAUUAAUGAAUCUUAUAUGGUAGUUGAUCCAAACCUAAGAUUCAGAGAGAUACGGUGUUCUGGCUGUGGGCAUUUAUCAGUAUUGUGUUCAUUUGGAUGAGCAGUGAACUUGUUAAACUCGUACAGUUUUUUUAAAGUUUUGGGUUAUUUAUUUAUUUAUAAUUUUUUUAAAGCUAUUUUGCUUUUACUCAACUUAUUUUUAAAGCUCUAAGCUCUCUCACAUGAGCACAAAGAGGUAAGAUCUGCCAAUUCAUUAGAAUGAAGCUAUUUCCAAAUCAUAUGCAGUCUACAAAUGUUGAUCUCAUUGCUUUUGCAAUGGCUUGAGAUGAUUGAAUCUUUGUUUGUUGUUGUUUCCCUCUUUGUUGCACUUUGGAGAUGCAUUGUCAUGUGAUCGUUGUCCAUUGGAGCAAAUAAAGGAGAGAACUAAAUGGAGAUAGUUGAAUCUCGUGAUCCAAUGAUGCUUUUGCUUAAUGACAAAUGAAAUAGAACCAACAAGAAGCAGUAAAAGAUGGACCAAAUUACUGAACUCACGAGGGUCCAUAUCUUCCUCAGCCAUGUGCAUGAUGGGCCACCUUUUAUGAUUAUUUUACCAACUGUGUUACUGUGCUUAAUUAUAAUUAAUAGCCUAAUAAUUUCACUGUUGAAGCUUUGUGAAUUGAGAGUUGUGACACAUGGGGCCAAUGUCUCUCGUUUGUCCAUUGCCUUGCCUUGCUG